UGGAAAUGGGGAAUGUGCCAAAGAGACAACAACCCGACCAUAGAAAAAAACAACAGCAGAAGGUCACCAACAGGUCUUCAAUGUAGCGAGAAAUACCCGCACCCGGAGGCGUCCUUCAACUGGCCCCUAAACAAAUAUAUACUAGUUCAGUGAUAAUAAACGCCAUACUAAUUUCCAAAUUGUACACAAGAAACUAAACUUAAA
rnacentral:lncRNA from 1 species